rnacentral:lncRNA from 1 species
GGCAGAGUGAUCAAGUUCAUCUCUUGUUACCCAGAAUAAUUCUCUAUUUAUCUUUUUCUCAAAAUAUGUUUUAAAUAGUGUGUUCUUUUUCUGCUAGAGUGAAAUGCUGCUGGCUCACAGCCUUUGUCCUUCCUUUUGUCAUGCUUAAACUCAGAGGAGCAACAGAGUGACUGAGCAGUGGAUAUUACAUUACAAUCUGAGGUGCGUGGCAGCAGAAAGAAAUGCCUCUACCAGAAAUUUACCACCUUUAAGCAUUUGUUUUUGCCUUCUCUAUCUUCCCAUUUGGUAUUUCAGAGACAUUUUAAAAACAGAAGUGGGGAAAGCUUGAACAGCUCCAGGCAUUGCUCUCAUCUAGCUCACGACAAGCUGCCAGACCAAGGAGCUCUGCACAGCCCUGAUGUGUCUGCAGAUGCUGCUUUUCCAAACUACCCCUGUCCUCAAUUAACAUACAAAAUCAUCAGCAGUAACAACAGGCUUUCCAUACCCAUGACCUGAGCAGUUUUAUGGGUGUUUAGCAGGCACCAGCCCUGUGUCUGCAAUACAGGACUGUUUGCUUCCAGAACUGACUUAAAUAGUUCCCCAAAUGCCUGUUUAUUACAGGAUGUGAGAAUGAUGGGACAUGCAGACAUCUGUGUUAACCUCGCUGUGUUCUCUGUCUGAGUCCUGCCCUAAUUAAAUUUGGGAUCUUGCAAUUUCUCCAUGGACCAGUUUGCAACACAGACAUCAAGUUCUCUCCUGAGAUAAUUAAACUGUUAUAAUCUGUGGGGUACAUUUUCCUGGGCUGCACAGUUUAU